AAAGAAAAAAAUGUAUUUCUUACAGUUCUGGAGGCUGGGAAGGCCAAGACUGAAGAACUGACAUCUGGUGAGGGCCUUCUUGCUGUGUCAUAACAUGGCAGAGGGCAUCCUGUAGUGAGGGGGCAAAAAAAAAAAAAAAAAAGAGCAGAUGGGCAAAGGCCCUAGCUAGUUCCCUCAGGCCCUUUUUUAAGGUACUAAUCCCAUUCAGAGGGGCAGAGUCCUCCGGACUUAAUCACCUCUAAAGGCCCCACUGCUUAACACUAUUGCAUGGGUCUUAGGGUCCAACGUUUCAAUUUGGGUGCACACAUGCACUCAAACCCUAGCAAUCCCUAAUCCAAUAUGACUGGUAUCCUCAUAGAAGGAGGAGAAUUUAGAACACAGGCGGUGGAUACACACACACACACACACACACACUCACACACACACACACAGGAAGGAAGGAAGGAAGGAAAAGAGAGAGACAGAAGAAGGAAGGAAGGAGAAGAGAGAGAGAGACAGAGGAAGGAAGGAAGGAAAAGAGAGAGAAGAAGGAAGCAAGGAAGGAAAGAAGGAAUGGAGGAAGGAAAAGAGACAGAGGAAGGAAGGAAGGAAAAGAGAAAGAGAGGAAGGAAAGAAGGAAAGAAAGAAGGAAAAGAGAGAGGAAGGAAAGAAGGAAGGAAAAGAGAGAGAGACAAAGGAAGGAAGGAAGGAAAAGAGAGAGACACAGGAAGGAAGGAAGGAAAGGAAGGAAGGAAGGAAAGGAAGAGAGACCAUGGUGCCAGGAAGUGAUAAAGUUGGGGUCUGAGCACAGAAGGAUUCGAUUUCAGAGCCUGUGUGUCUUCUUGCAGUUUAAACAAUUGGCUCACGCAGGCAAGGAGAGUGUACACUUUAUCUCACAUAUUAUUUCUUGGUUUCCUGCAUCCUAAUUGUCCUUCUGUCACUGUUAAUGCAUAACUAGACUUUGCCCAGGAUAUGCAAGCAGCUAUUUUCUCGCCUGGGCCAAUGGCAAAGGCAUUCAUUCUGCUGAUGGUAGAUGGUGUCAAAU
rnacentral:lncRNA from 1 species